rnacentral:precursor_RNA from 8 species
GCUGCUGCCGCCUCCUAGUGACUAAUUGUCUAAUCUCAGUUGGUAAUUCAGAGUGCUGGAAUUCGUUCUCGGAUUAACAGCUGGGAUCGGACAAAUAACACACUAACAUCUACACCACAAA